AGAGUUUGAUCCUGGCUCAGGACGAACGCUGGCGGCGUGCCUAAUACAUGCAAGUCGAGCGGACAGAUGGGAGCUUGCUCCCUGAUGUUAGCGGCGGACGGGUGAGUAACACGUGGGUAACCUGCCUGUAAGACUGGGAUAACUCCGGGAAACCGGGGCUAAUACCGGAUGGUUGUUUGAACCGCAUGGUUCAAACAUAAAAGGUGGCUUCGGCUACCACUUACAGAUGGACCCGCGGCGCAUUAGCUAGUUGGUGAGGUAACGGCUCACCAAGGCAACGAUGCGUAGCCGACCUGAGAGGGUGAUCGGCCACACUGGGACUGAGACACGGCCCAGACUCCUACGGGAGGCAGCAGUAGGGAAUCUUCCGCAAUGGACGAAAGUCUGACGGAGCAACGCCGCGUGAGUGAUGAAGGUUUUCGGAUCGUAAAGCUCUGUUGUUAGGGAAGAACAAGUACCGUUCGAAUAGGGCGGUACCUUGACGGUACCUAACCAGAAAGCCACGGCUAACUACGUGCCAGCAGCCGCGGUAAUACGUAGGUGGCAAGCGUUGUCCGGAAUUAUUGGGCGUAAAGGGCUCGCAGGCGGUUUCUUAAGUCUGAUGUGAAAGCCCCCGGCUCAACCGGGGAGGGUCAUUGGAAACUGGGGAACUUGAGUGCAGAAGAGGAGAGUGGAAUUCCACGUGUAGCGGUGAAAUGCGUAGAGAUGUGGAGGAACACCAGUGGCGAAGGCGACUCUCUGGUCCGUAACUGACGCUGAGGAGCGAAAGCGUGGGGAGCGAACAGGAUUAGAUACCCUGGUAGUCCACGCCGUAAACGAUGAGUGCUAAGUGUUAGGGGGUUUCCGCCCCUUAGUGCUGCAGCUAACGCAUCAAGCACUCCGCCUGGGGAGUACGGUCGCAAGACUGAAACUCAAAGGAAUUGACGGGGGCCCGCACAAGCGGUGGAGCAUGUAGUUUAAUUCGAAGCAACGCGAAGAACCUUACCAGGUCUUGACAUCCUCUGACAAUCCUAGAGAUAGGACGUCCCCUUCGGGGGCAGAGUGACAGGUGCUGCAUGGUUGUCGUCAGCUCGUGUCGUGAGAUGUUGGGUUAAGUCCCGCAACGAGCGCAACCCUUGAUCUUAGUUGCCAGCAUUCAGUUGGGCACUCUAAGGUGACUGCCGGUGACAAACCGGAGGAAGGUGGGGAUGACGUCAAAUCAUCAUGCCCCUUAUGACCUGGGCUACACACGUGCUACAAUGGACAGAACAAAGGGCAGCGAAACCGCGAGGUUAAGCCAAUCCCACAAAUCUGUUCUCAGUUCGGAUCGCAGUCUGCAACUCGACUGCGUGAAGCUGGAAUCGCUAGUAAUCGCGGAUCAGCAUGCCGCGGUGAAUACGUUCCCGGGCCUUGUACACACCGCCCGUCACACCACGAGAGUUUGUAACACCCGAAGUCGGUGAGGUAACCUUUUAGGAGCCAGCCGCCGAAGGUGGGACAGAUGAUUGGGGUGAAGUCGGAACAAGGUAGCCGUAUCGGAAGGUGCGGCUG
rnacentral:rRNA from 1 species